rnacentral:rRNA from 1 species
UACGAAGGGGGCUAGCGUUGCUCGGAAUCACUGGGCGUAAAGGGUGCGUAGGCGGGUCUUUUAAGUCAGGGGUGAAAUCCUGGAGCUCAACUCCAGAACUGCCUUUGAUACUGAAGAUCUUGAGUUCGGGAGAGGUGAGUGGAACUGCGAGUGUAGAGGUGAAAUUCGUAGAUAUUCGCAAGAACACCAGUGGCGAAGGCGGCUCACUGGCCCGAUACUGACGCUGAGGCACGAAAGCGUGGGGAGCAAACAGGAUUAGAUGACCUUGUA